rnacentral:rRNA from 1 species
GACGAACGCUGGCGGCGUGCCUAGUACAUGCAAGUAGAACGCACAGUUUAUACCGUAGCUUGCUACACCAUAGACUGUGAGUUGCGAACGGGUGAGUAACGCGUAGGUAACCUGCCUGGUAGCGGGGGAUAACUAUUGGAAACGAUAGCUAAUACCGCAUAAUAUUGAUUAUUGCAUGAUAAUUGAUUGAAAGAUGCUAUUGCAUCACUACCAGAUGGACCUGCGUUGUAUUAGCUAGUAGGUGAGGUAACGGCUCACCUAGGCGACGAUACAUAGCCGACCUGAGAGGGUGAUCGGCCACACUGGGACUGAGACACGGCCCAGACUCCUACGGGAGGCAGCAGUAGGGAAUCUUCGGCAAUGGACGAAAGUCUGACCGAGCAACGCCGCGUGAGUGAAGAAGGUUUUCGGAUCGUAAAGCUCUGUUGUAAGAGAAGAACGGGUGUGAGGGUGGAAAGUUCACACUGUGACGGUAUCUUACCAGAAAGGGACGGCUAACUACGUG